UCAAAAAAUUAAGAGUAGGAGGCUGAAUGCUCAUCACUCCAGGGCUCCUGGGAAGGUCUGAGACUGGGGCCUUCUGCGGCCCUAACUGGGCCCUCCCCGAGUUGGGAGGUGAGUUCCCAGAGACCAGGACCCCACGUUGGGCACCAGAUGGCUAGGAGCCAUCCAUGGUGGUGGACAGGUCCCAGCAGAGGAUGUAAGGAGUUGGCGAGGGGAGGAGGUGAGCUGGGCCAUGAUGGCGGUGAGAAUCUUGCAGCCUGACUGACUAGCAGCCAGAGUGCUUCUUGCUUUAUGACUUUUGCUGUUCCCAUCAGAUUCUGUGCCAUCUCCCCUUGUUGAACGGUUACCUUGUUCAGCUUGA
rnacentral:lncRNA from 1 species